CAGUCGCCGCGGUAAUACGAAGGGUGCAAGCGUUACUCGGAAUUACUGGGCGUAAAGCGUGCGUAGGUGGUGGUUUAAGUCCGUUGUGAAAGCCCUGGGCUCAACCUGGGAAUUGCAGUGGAUACUGGGUCGCUAGAGUGUGGUAGAGGAUAGUGGAAUUUCCGGUGUAGCAGUGAAAUGCGUAGAGAUCGGAAGGAACAUCUGUGGCGAAGGCGACUAUCUGGGCCAACACUGACACUGAGGCACGAAAGCGUGGGGAGCAAACAGGAUUAGAUACCCGCGUAGUCCCUGUCUCUUAUAC
rnacentral:rRNA from 1 species